UACGGAGGGUGCAAGCGUUGUUCGGAAUCAUUGGGCGUAAAGCGCGUGUAGGCGGCUUGGCAAGUCGGUUGUGAAAGCCCGGGGCCCAACCCCGGAACUGCAUCCGAAACUGCCUGGCUAGAGUCCCGGAGAGGAAGGCAGAAUUCCCGGUGUAGGGGUGAAAUCCGUAGAUAUCGGGAGGAAUACCAGCGGCGAAGGCGGCCUUCUGGACGGUGACUGACGCUGAGACGCGAAAGCUAGGGGAGCAAACAGG
rnacentral:rRNA from 1 species